UCCUAAUUUGAUGUGACCAUCUUGAACCGC
rnacentral:piRNA from 1 species